rnacentral:rRNA from 1 species
UACGUAGGUGGCAAGCGUUGUCCGGAAUUAUUGGGCGUAAAGCGCGCGCAGGCGGCCUCCUAAGUCCGCUGUGAAAGCCCACGGCUCAACCGUGGAGGGUCAUUGGAAACUGGGGGACUUGAGUGCAGGAGAGAAGAGUGGAAUUCCACGUGUAGCGGUGAAAUGCGUAGAGAUGUGGAGGAACACCAGUGGCGAAGGCGACUCUUUGGCCUGUAACUGACGCUGAGGCGCGAAAGCGUGGGGAGCGAACAGG